rnacentral:lncRNA from 1 species
CCAAAUGUUAGAUAGUCAAUCUUAAUAAUAAUAAAAAAAAAAAGAAACCAUGGAAGUAAUCACUCCAGAGAUUACAAUAGAGUUACCUCUCCCAAAAGAAAUUACUUUUCAAUAGAAUCAUGAAAACCCAGACAGCACAUUAAAACUUACCAGCUAAUACAAUAAUGCUUGACAUUUACAUAUCAUUAUAUCAAAUUCAUAAUAUAAACUGAAAUUAACAGAUCAAAAGAAUCUAAUCGAACAAAUAAAUAUUAAUGCGUGAAAUGGACAAAAUCAAAUUGUUUUCUUCCUCGUUCUUUCUUUUACAUUUCUUUUCUUCUUCCCUUACGUUUUCUACGGAACCAAACAUAGAGUAACUGUCAAACCUGGAAAGAAAGGCGGGAGGAGAAAUAUUGUGGAGAAGCUUAGAUUAAUGCCAUAUGAUGUGGGAAAGAGCAAACAGGGUUCAAAAUAGUUAUUUACUAAAGUACCCCUGUUUGGACGUCGAGAAAUUUGAGAAACGAAAAGAAAUGGAUGGAAGAUUAUAA